rnacentral:lncRNA from 1 species
UGUCAAGAUUUGCUCCGAUGGAAUAUGGAUAUAAAUAUCCCUCCGACCUGAGACCGUCACGGUGACUUGCAAGCAACUCACUACACUUAGGCACUGGACUACCUGAAUUUUUAAUUCAGUGACGGAAGGCUGCUGGGUGUAGUCAAGUACUUGACUUGUCGGUGCAUGUGUCAAGAUGGGAUUGACCACUCCAGUUUAGGAGCUGUGUACAGUCGUAUUUUAAUUUAGCAAAAUCUUGGCCAGGAUAGUUCUUGUGAGGAGUCACAGGACUGUUUGAGUUGAGCACGAUUCGGAUGAUCUGAUC